rnacentral:rRNA from 1 species
GAAUUUUGGACAAUGGGGGAAACCCUGAUCCAGCCAUCCCGCGUGUGCGAUGAAGGCCUUCGGGUUGUAAAGCACUUUUGGCAGGAAAGAAACGUCAUGGGCUAAUACCCCGUGAAACUGACGGUACCUGCAGAAUAAGCACCGGCUAACUACGUGCCAGCAGCCGCGGUAAUACGUAGGGUGCAAGCGUUAAUCGGAAUUACUGGGCGUAAAGCGUGCGCAGGCGGUUCGGAAAGAAAGAUGUGAAAUCCCAGAGCUUAACUUUGGAACUGCAUUUUUAACUACCGAGCUAGAGUGUGUCAGAGGGAGGUGGAAUUCCGCGUGUAGCAGUGAAAUGCGUAGAUAUGCGGAGGAACACCGAUGGCGAAGGCAGCCUCCUGGGAUAACACCGACGCUCAUGCACGAAAGCGUGGGGAGCAAACAGG